ensembl:lncRNA
CAAAAAUGUCAGGAGUUUUCCUGUAAUGCAACUCAGAUUGGAAUAAGUGACACUCAGACAGGUUUUACAAAUUAACGUGCGGAGAGAGAACUGGACAGGCGCCGUUCCUUCGCUUGACCUCAGUUGCUCUCGUCCGCCCUCCCGUAACACUGCUCUUUUAUUGUGGUUACAUGAAUAUGCAUAGUUUCAUUAACAUAUGACGUAUACCUUGUGUGUGUGUGUGUGUGUGGAGUCGAGAUAUGAUCCCGUGAAGACUCCCCAAAGCUGGUGCCAGGAGUCUAGCGGUCCAUCUAAACAAAAGGCUCUUAGACUCAAACAGAUAUACGUGUGUUUGUUAUACCAUAUAUCAGCAAGAGAAGAUACGGCCUCUCCUAGGAGACGUGUGAUCUAUGCCAGAACAAUAAUAAUGAAAACAUUCCUCAAGAGCUGGGCAGUUCUGAGACUGAGAUGCACUCCAGGGCCUCCCCAGAGGCUGGGUUUCAGCCCCCAGCUGACUCUGGCCCCCUGGAGGUUAAGAAGCCAGCUGAGGACUGCACCCGGCUGUCACUGCCUAAGCAGAGUCAAUGCUCUGCGCAGUCUGCUAUAUGUUUGCCAGAGGCCACUGUGCCUGCUGGUUCUGUUCUGUCCCCGCCAGAGGCCCGCGCGCCUGCUGGUUCUGUUCUGUCCCCGCCAGAGGCCCGCGAGCCUGCUGGUUCUGUUCUGUCCCCGCCAGAGGCCCGCGCGCCUGCUGGUUCUGUUUUGUUCCUGCCAGAGGCCCGCGCGCCUGCUGGUUCUGAUCCGUCCCUGCCAGAGGCCCGUGCGCCUACUGGUUCUGACCUGUCCCUGCCAGAGGUCUCCGCACCCGCUGGUUCUGUUCUGUCUCUGCCAGGGGUCUCCGCACCUGCUGGUUCUGUCCUGUGUGUGCCAGGGGCCCCAGUGCCUACUGGAUCUGAGACUGUUUUUGCUGGAGGGCCCGAGGAGCCCGUCCAGCCCCCUGCCUCGUCAGCUGGAGGGCCCAAGGAGCCCGUCCAGCCCCCUGUCUCGUCAGCUGGAGGGCCCGAGGAGCCCGUCCAGCCUCCUGCCUCGUCAGCUGGAGGUUCAGGAGAACCUAGCCAGCUUCCUGCCUCGUCAUCUGCUUCAUCCACGCCGCCUGCAGCAGCAGCCUCUUCAUCCUCGCCAGCUGCAGCCUCUUCAUCCUCGCCAGCUGCAGCCUCCGUGUCUUCGCUUUCAGCUUCGCCUGGUCCAGCCUCAUCAUCGGCUUCAGCGUCGCCUGCAGCGUCUCCGGCUUCCACACCGCCGCCAGCUGCAGCCUCAUCAUCCUCGCCAGCUUCAGCCUCAUCAUCCUCUUCAUCCUCGCCAACUGCAGCCUCUUCAUCCUCUCCAGCUGCAGCCUCCGUGUCUUCACCUUCAGCGUCGCCUGGUCCAGCUCCGGCUUCAUCCGCGCCUGGUCCAGCCUCCGCUUCAGCUGCCUCAUCCGCGUCUGGUCCAGCCUCCGCUCCGGCGUCAUCUGCCUCAUCCUUGCCUGGUCCAGCUCCGGAUUCAUCCGCCUCAUCCUUGCCUGGUCCAGCUCCGGCUUCAUCCGCCUCAUCCUUGCCUGGUCCAGCUCCGGCUUCAUCCGCCUCAUCCUUGCCUGGUCCAGCCUCCGCUUCAUCCGCCUCAUCCGCGUCUGGUCCAGCCUGCGCUUCAGCCGCCUCAUUCGCGUCUGGUCCAGCCUCCGCUUCAGCUGCCUCAUCCGCAUCUGGUCCAGCCUCCGUGUCUUCAUCCUCGUCUGGUCCAGCUCCCGCAUCAGCUCCAGCGUUGCCUGCAGCGGCCUCCUCUUCAGCCUCAUCUGCUUCGUCUGCAGCGGCCUCAUCCGCUUCGUCUGCAGCAGCCUCCUCAUCUGCUCCAGCACCGCCUGCAGCAGCUUCAGCUUCACCCACGCCUGCAGCAGCUUCAGCUUCACCCACGCCUGCAGCAGCUUCAGCUUCACCCACGCCGUCGCCUGGCCCAGCUUCAGCCUCGUCUGCUUCACCCACGCUGUCGCCUGGCCCAGCUUCAGCCUCGUCUGCUUCAGCCUCGUCUUCGCCUGGCCCAGCUUCAGCCUCGUCUGGUCCUGCGGUUGCCACUCUGUCAUUGGACCCAGCUCGGCCUGUUCCGCCUUGCCUCAGCCGGCCGUUUUCCAGGCCUCUAAGCUGGCAUCAUGGCCGUCAGGGACGGCCUCCGGACAGAGUUCGUCGCCGCCGCUGGCAUCGCGGCCGACCUCCGGACCUGCCCUGUGGCCGCCACUGGCUUCCAAGUGGUCGGCCACCUGAUUGGUUUUGCCUGCGCCGCCGCCGUUGCCGUGUGCACGGUCGGCCUCCAGAACUGUUUGCCCGUCGCCGCCAUUGCCGUCCGCACGGUCGGCCCCCAGAGCUGUUUCCAUGCCACUGCCUACUGCAUGACUCGCCUUCGGACCUGCCCCGCUACCGCUGCUUUUCGCAUGGUCGGCCUCCGGAACUGAACUGUUUUGGCCUCCUGUGCUGUCGGCCUCCGGGUCGGCCCCCUGAACUUGGCCAUCUGGGCCUUUUUGGACUCGGUCCCUCCGUCCUGGACCCCCACCGCCCGCCCUGGUCGGGUCGUUUUCUGUUUUUUGGUUGUGUUUGUGUUUCUGUUGGGCUGUCUGGAGCCAGCCCUUGAGGGGGGGGGUACUGUCAUGGUCCUGAGCCUGCCGACUCAGUGUUUUGUGUUUCCUUAUGCUUUUGUUCAUUCCGAGUAUGUAUUCUGUUGUGAUUUGCCAUUUGUUAGGUUUCUGUUCUUUGCCUGCCUGCCCCCACUUCUCUGUGUUCCCUCCGUCUGUCCAUGGUGUGACACUGUUUGUUUGUGAAUCUGUCUGUUUAGUUCAGUGUCUUGUCUGGUUCUGUGUUUAAGUUUCCUGUUUUAUUGUGAAGGUCUCCGUCUGUUGUGAGUGUGUUCAGUUUACGUUUCCCCUGUCCCGUCAGCUCUGAUUUCUCCCAGCUUUGUUGCCCUCCUGUUUCUCAUUCCCUGAUUACUGGUGUGUGUAUUUAAGCCCUGUGUGUUCUCCUGCCUGUUGCCGGUUCGUCUGUGUUCCACGGUGUCCUGUUCCCCGUCCGUGUCUCUCUGCCUCUCACCCCAUUCUGGUAUCCUCUCAGGUUUGUUAUUUAGUUUUCCCAGUUUAGGUUUGUUCUGUUCAUUCUCUUCCCUCACUGCCUGUUUUUGCCUCUCCACCACUUGUAAAUAAAUGUCACUCGAAUCAUCAGUCACUGCCUGCAUUUUGGGUCCUCCUUUCCUUUUUUUUUUUUUUCUUUCUUUUUUUUUUAAACCUGUCCCGUUUGGUUCUUUUGCCAUCAGAAUUAUUGUCUAAAGGCGAAGAAAGAUGCCCAACGGAUUUACUUUACCAAAU